AAUAAACGCUGGCGGCGUGCUUAACACAUGCAAGUCGAGCGCGAAAGCUUCUUCGGAAGUGAGUAGAGCGGCGGACGGGUGAGUAACACGUGAGUUAUCUACCCUUUAGUGAAGAAUACCCUUGAGAAAUUAAGGCUAAUACUGCAUAAGUCCCUUCGGGGAGAAAGAUGGCCUCUUGCUGUCGCUAAAGGAUGAGCUUGCGCGCUAUUAGUUAGUUGGUGAGGUAAAGGCUCACCAAGGCGAUGAUGGCUAGCCGGCCUGAGAGGGUGUACGGCCACACUGGAACUGAGACACGGUCCAGACUCCUACGGGAGGCAGCAGUGAGGAAUAUUGCGCAAUGGGCGAAAGCCUGACGCAGCGACGCCGCGUGGGGGAUGAAGGCUUUCGAGUCGUAAACUCCUGUUAAGUGGGAAGAAAAGCCGAAUUUCAAUAAAGUUCGGCAAUGACGGUACCAUUAGAGAAAGCACCGGCUAACUUCGUGCCAGCAGCCGCGGUAAUACGAAGGGUGCAAGCGUUAUUCGGAAUCAUUGGGCGUAAAGGGUGUGUAGGCGGUAUAUUAAGUCACUUGUUAAAUCCUUCGGCUCAACCGAAGAGUGGCGAGUGAAACUAAUAUGCUAGAGGAUGGAAGAGAGAAGUGGAAUUCUCGGAGUAGCGGUAAAAUGUGUAGAUCUCGAGAGGAACACCGAUGGCGAAGGCAGCUUCUUGGUCCAUUCCUGACGCUGAGACACGAAAGCGUGGGUAGCAAACAGGAUUAGAUACCCUGGUAGUCCACGCUGUAAACGAUGAUCACUAGACGUCAGUUCUGUUUUACGGAAUUGGUGUCGUAGCUAACGCGUUAAGUGAUCCGCCUGGGGAGUACGGUCGCAAGACUAAAACUCAAAGGAAUUGACGGGGGCCCGCACAAGCGGUGGAACAUGUGGUUUAAUUCGAUAAUACGCGAGGAACCUUACCUAGACUUGACAUGUUUUUGACAACCGUGGAAACACGGCUUUUUAGGCUUUUGUCUAAACAAUUACACAGGUGCUGCAUGGCUGUCGUCAGCUCGUGUCGUGAGAUGUUGGGUUAAGUCCUUUAACGAGCGCAACCCCUGCUGUCAGUUGCUACUUGCUUUGCAAGGCACUCUGGCGGGACUGCCUGGGAAACCAGGAGGAAGGUGGGGACGACGUCAAGUCAUCAUGGUCCUUAUGUCUAGGGCUACACACGUGUUACAAUGGCCAGUACAAAGGGUUGCAAUCCCGCAAGGGGGAGCUAAUCUCACAAAGCUGGUCUAAGUUCGGAUUGGGGUCUGCAAUUCGACCCCAUGAAGUUGAAAUCGCUAGUAAUCGCGUAUCAGCAAUGACGCGGUGAAUACGUUCUCGGGCCUUGUACACACCGCCCGUCACACCACGAAAGUUGUCUGUACCCGAAGUCACUUUAGCCAACCCUUAGGGGAGGCGAGUGCCUAAGGUGUGGGUGAUGAUUGGGGUG
rnacentral:rRNA from 1 species